AUGCCCUAAUUCUCUCCUAUCUUCUUUACCCCUCCCUCUCUCUCUCGCCACUUUCUCGCAGCCUUCUGCCAACGAUUGCCGACACCAGCGACGACCUUUGCCAUCCCCAUCUCCGCCCUUCUCCGUCGCACCAAGAGCCCACACCAACGACACCUCCGCCCUUCGCCGACCCCCCAUCCGCCCUUCGCCGAUGCACUAGGAGCCCACACCAACGCCACCUCACCCCUUCGCCAACGCCAUGUCCGCCGUCGCACCUCCAUCGACGCCCACACCGAAUUAUUGAAACUUGAAGCCUGCUAAUCAAUUGUAGUUCGAUUGGAAUUUCUGACCGUUCACCGCCUUUCGUUGCUCGCCAAUGUACAUUACCAGUUCUCCGAGUUUUGUUGUUCGUUGUCGCAAACCACCCUUUCACCGUUGAGUCUGCUCUUUACCUUGCUGACGAUGUUGAAGCUUUUCUCGGUCGAAACUGCCACGCAGAAAGAAAGGGAAAUUGAGAUAUACU